UAGGGAAUCUUCCGCAAUGGACGCAAGUCUGACGGAGCAACGCCGCGUGAGUGAAGAAGGAUUUCGGUUCGUAAAACUCUGUUGUUAGAGAAGAACAGCGCAUAGAGUAACUGUUAUGCGUGUGACGGUAUCUAACCAGAAAGCCACGGCUAACUACGUGCCAGCAGCCGCGGUAAUACGUAGGUGGCAUGCGUUGUCCGGAUUUAUUGGGCGUAAAGCGAGCGCAGGCGGUCAAUUAAGUCUGAUGUGAAAGCCCCCGGCUCAACCGGGGAGGGUCAUUGGAAACUGGUUGACUUGAGUGCAGAAGAGGAGAGUGGAAUUCCAUGUGUAGCGGUGAAAUGCGUAGAUAUAUGGAGGAACACCAGUGGCGAAGGCGACUCUCUGGUCUGUAACUGACGCUGAGGUUCGAAAGCGUGGGUAGCAAACAGG
rnacentral:rRNA from 1 species